CUAGACUUAAAGUGUCCGUAGGUGGCUUUUCAAGUCCGCCGUCAAAUCCUAGAGCUCAGGCCUGGACAAGCGGUGGAAACUACCAAGCUGGAGUACGGUAGGGGCAGAGGGAAUUUCCGGUGGAGCGGUGAAAUGCAUUGAGAUCGGAAAGAACACCACGGCGAAAGCACUCUGCUGGUGACACUGAGAGACGAAAGCUAGGGGAGCAAAUGGGAUUAGAGAUCCCAUUAGUCCUAGUUGUAAACGAUGGAUACUAGGUGUUGUGCGACUCGACCUGUGAAGUGCUGUAGCGCGACUCGACCUGUGAAGUUGCGAAGUGCUGUAGCGCGACUCGACCUGUGAAGUGCUGUAGCUAACGCGUUAAGUAUCUCGCC
rnacentral:ncRNA from 1 species